rnacentral:rRNA from 1 species
UAUCCUAACCGUGCGAAGGUAGCGUAAUCACUUGUUCUUUAAAUGGGGACUAGUAUGAAUGGCACCACGAGGGUUAUACUGUCUCCCUUUUCCAAUCAGUGAAACUAAUCUCCCUGUGAAGAAGCAGGGAUAAAAAUAUAAGACGAGAAGACCCUAUGGAGCUUUAAAUUUCAAUUCAAAGCAUAAUGAAGUAGAAUUUUAGGUUGGGGUGACCGCGGAGUACAAAACAACCUCCACAUUGAACUAGGCCUAUUACCUUGAGCAACGAACUACAAUCCUAUGCACAAAAAAAUUUACAUUCAUUGACCCAAUUUUUUUGAUCAACGAACCAAGUUACCCUAGGGAUAACAGCGCAAUCCUCUUCAAGAGCUCCUAUCGCCAAGAGGGUUUACGACCUCGAUGUUGGAUCAGGGUAUCCCAGUGGCGCAGCCGCUACUAAUGGUUCGUUUGUUCAACGAUUAAAACCCUACGUGAUCU